AAUUUUAAGGUCAAGCUACAAAGGGCGCAUGGUGAAUGCCUUGGCACUAGGAGCCGAAGAAGGACGCGAUAAGCUGCGAUAAGCCUUGGGUAGCCGCAAAUAGGCUGAGAUCCAGGGAUUUCCGAAUGAGGAAACUCACAUGGGUAACCCCAUGUAUUAUGCACUGAAUACAUAGGUGUAUGAGGGUAAACCCGGGGAACUGAAACAUCUAAGUACCCGGAGGAAGAGAAAGAAAAUCGAUUUCCUAAGUAGCGGCGAGCGAACGGGAAAGAGCCCAAACCAGAAACUUGUUUCUGGGGUUGUGGAUAGAUCAUAAAAGAAGAGGUAUCUUAAUCGAAGAGGGCUGGAACGCCCUACCAUAGAAGGUAAUAGUCCUGUAGAUAAAAAGAGAAAACUUCGAGAUCUAAUCCAGAGUACCACGAGACACGUGAAACCUUGUGGGAAGCAGGGAGGACCACCUCCCAAGGCUAAAUACUACCUAGUGACCGAUAGUGAAGCAGUACCGUGAGGGAAAGGUGAAAA
rnacentral:rRNA from 1 species